rnacentral:snRNA from 1 species
AUGCUCAAUUCGGCAGCAUAUAUUAAACUGGAACGAUACAGAGAUUGGCAUGGUCCCUGCACAAGGAUGACAUGCAAAUUUGUGAAGCAUUCCAAAUUUUUU